rnacentral:rRNA from 1 species
AUUGAACGCUGGCGGAAUGCUUUACACAUGCAAGUCGAACGGCAGCACGGACUUCGGUCUGGUGGCGAGUGGCGAACGGGUGAGUAAUGUAUCGGAACGUGCCCAGUCGUGGGGGAUAACGUAGUGAAAAUUACGCUAAUACCGCAUACGAUCUAUGGAUGAAAGCGGGGGAUCGCAAGACCUCGCGCGAUUGGAGCGGCCGAUAUCAGAUUAGGUAGUUGGUGGGGUAAAGGCCCACCAAGCCAACGAUCUGUAGAUGGUAUGAGAGGACGACCAGCCACACUGGAACUGAGACACGGUCCAGACUCCGACGGGAGGCAGCAGUGGGGAAUUUUGGACAAUGGGCGAAAGCCUGAUUCAGCCAUUCCGCGUGCAGGAUGAAGGCCCUCGGGUUGUAAACUGCUUUUGUACAGAACGAAAAGGUUUCUACUAAUACUAGGAGCUCAUGACGGUACUGUAAGAAUAAGCACCGGCUAACUACGUGCCAGCCGCCGCCGUAA